AUCCAACUGACGAAUCCCAAACAGAAUGAAACGUGUGUUCUAGAU
rnacentral:hammerhead_ribozyme from 1 species